rnacentral:rRNA from 1 species
AGCGAACGCUGGCGGCAGGCCUAACACAUGCAAGUCGAACGAACCUUUCGGGGUUAGUGGCGGACGGGUGAGUAACACGUGGGAACGUGCCUUUAGGUUCGGAAUAACUCAGGGAAACUUGUGCUAAUACCGAAUGUGCCCUUCGGGGGAAAGAUUAAUCGCCUUUAGAGCGGCCCGCGUCUGAUUAGCUAGUUGGUUGAGGUAAUGGCUCACCAAGGCGACGAUCAGUAGCUGGUCUGAGAGGAUGAUCAGCCACAUUGGGACUGAGACACGGCCCAAACUCCUACGGGAGGCAGCAGUGGGGAAUCUUGCGCAAUGGGCGAAAGCCUGACGCAGCCAUGCCGCGUGAAUGAUGAAGGUCUUAGGAUUGUAUAAUUCUUUCACCGGGGACGAUAAUGACGGUACCCGGAGAAGAAGCCCCGGCUAACUUCGUG